rnacentral:rRNA from 1 species
AAUUUUGGGCAAUGGCCGAAAGGCUGACCCAGCGACGCCGCGUGCGGGAGGACGCCCUUCGGGGUNUAAACCGCUGUCAGAGGGGANGAAAGGCCGGGGUGGGAAUACUGCCCUGGAGUGACGGUACCUAAGGAGGAAGCACCGGCUAACUACGUGCCAGCAGCCGCGGUAAUACGUAGGGGGCAAGCGUUGUCCGGAAUUAUUGGGCGUAAAGGGUGCGUAGGCGGCCUUUUAAGUCAGGUGUGAAAGCCCACGGCUUAACCGUGGGAUUGCAUUUGAAACUGGAAGGCUUGAGUAUCGGAGAGGGUAGUGGAAUUCCCAGUGUAGCGGUGGAAUGCGUAGAUAUUGGGAGGAACACCAGUGGCGAAGGCGACUGCCUGGACGAAAACUGACGCUGAGGCACGAAAGCUAGGGGAGCAAAC